CUAAUCUUCCAUUCAUUCUUGCCAGAGAAAUAGAAGUUUACAGUUCAUUCUUCAUCGUCUCUACUCUGAACCAUCCAAUUCAAGUAUGGCAAAAUUGGGAAAAAUAAUUGACAUGGGGGAACAGCUAUGCUAUUGCAAUAGCCUUGAUGAAAAGAUGCAAAAAC